rnacentral:lncRNA from 1 species
GGCACUGCUAUCAUGGGGCACUGGUAACAAAUAAAUAUCACUUUGGAGGCCAUGUGCAGAUCAGAUUUGGAAGUGACCAAGACUGGAGGCAGGGACACCAGAGUUUUCUGUUAAAAACUGGUCCAUGCAAGAAAAGAUGACUCCUGAAAUAAGACAGUGAUCAUUAGGAUGAAGAGGAAGAGAAGAUUUGAGGAAUACUUAGAACAGAAUUUACUGAAUUUACUGGUUGAAUUGAAUGUGAAGAGGAGAUGAAUAAAGAAGAAAACACCCUCAAAGAGUCCCCUCUGAGCAUACACUAUACAGCAAACAUUGGAUGAAGAAUGUGUAUUUUCAGUUUCAGAAGCUGAACAAAUAUGAAACAAUCUCUGGAAAAUGGAAUUUGAUUUUGAUUCAACAACAGGAGAAUUCUACUGUUUUUCUCCAGCAGCUCCACGAUAAAAGGGAACCCUGAGCAGAACACAUGCACAAACUCAUGCCAUACCCUAAGGGACAAGGUUCCCCACAUCUACUUGGAAAUCUUUGGGAUGCUCAAUGGAGAAAAACAAGGAGAGAAAAAUCUAAACCCAGCAGAAGAGAAAGUUUAAGAAAGCGGUCGUCGCCAAUACCAAAAUUAGCUAUGAUAUUCAGGAAGAAAAAAAUGGAAACACGAUAACCACAGUCAAUAAAGACCAAGGCCACAUUCCAUUGACCAGAGCUCAGCCACGCGCCACACCUGGCUAAAGAGACUCUGGCUGAAGAAUUCCCUGAAUAUUUUAAUGUAGCUCUAGGUUAUAACACAGAACAACCACAAGGUGGCAGAAGAACUCCAUUCUUGUAAAUCUCUUAGUUGCUUCUUUAUUUCAUCUUCCCUAUUCCAUCUAAUGUUCCCUGAAUUUUACUAUUUUGUUGGUUUGAAAAUAUGUGUGACUUACGUCCUUUAAAGGAUUUGGUUCGUAAGGUUUUGAAUAGACUGGAAUAUAAAACAUUUAUAGAAAAGAAAAAUACCUACAGUAUGAUGUUAGUGAACUAUUAAUAAUCCAAUUAAAUAAAAUAUAUUUGCUUUGGAUUAAUA